AGGAGAUGGGAAAAUGGCUGAAGGCAACCGAAGCCUCUUCUCGGAUCCAGAUGUCCAGCCCCGCCCAGGAGCAAGAGAAACCCCCCCAGUACAUUUUAAGAGGCAAAAGAGGAGUGGCUGGAAAGCAAGUGAGAGAGAGGGAGGGAAGAAAUCUUCCCUGCAGCUUCCCUCCUACAAAGUCGGAAGGGACAGGAGGACUUCUCUUUCUUGCUUUUGCUGGAGGAAGAAGGCUAUCACAGAAAGGAAAACAGCUUUGCCAUUUAUCAAGCAAAAGACACGCAGUGCAGAGGCCUCGUUUCAAAUACCUGAGCUUUGGUGAUCUUGGAAAGAUUAUACAACUCCAGGAAAGCUGAAUUUAUAUAUAUGUCGAGAAUCACCUGUUGGGCCCUCUUCCCAAUGGAUCUGCAUCUGAA